rnacentral:sRNA from 1 species
GUGGGCUUGAAAAAAAGAGGGAGGCUGGGAAGGAGGUGGGGGAGGGACACCUCCAAGGCACUGCGCCCUGAGAAGUGAAGGAAAACAUAUGUGUAACCUCAGCCCCCAGCUCUCAGCUGACUAACAGGUUAGUUAGACGGGUGAGCCGGCAUUCCGCAGGAAAGGGGGGAGGGGGAAGGAGACAGACAGACAGAGAGAGAGGGGGAGAGAGACAAGGAGAGGGAGGGAGAGAG